rnacentral:rRNA from 1 species
GACGAACGCUGGCGGCGUGCUUAACACAUGCAAGUCGAGCGGUAAGGCCCUUUCGGGGGUACACGAGCGGCGAACGGGCGAGUAACACGUGGGUGACCUGCCCUCAGCUCUGGGAUAAGCCUGGGAAACCGGGUCUAAUACUGGAUAUGACUCCAUGACGCAUGUUGUGGGGUGGAAAGCCUUGUGCGGCUGAGGAUGGGCCCGCGGCCUAUCAGCUUGUUGGUGGGGUGANGGCCUACCAAGGCGACGCGGGUAGCCGGCCUGAGAGGGCGACCGGCCACACUGGGACUGAGACACGGCCCAGACUCCUACGGGAGGCAGCAGUGGGGAAUCUUGCGCAAUGGGCGAAAGCCUGACGCAGCGACGCCGCGUGAGGGAUGACGGCCUGG